GAUGAACGCUGGCGGCGUGCCUAAUACAUGCAAGUAGAACGCUGAAGGAGGAGCUUGCUCUUCUGGAUGAGUUGCGAACGGGUGAGUAACGCGUAGGUAACCUGCCUGGUAGCGGGGGAUAACUAUUGGAAACGAUAGCUAAUACCGCAUGACAACAGUUAUUGCAUGAUAACUGUUUAAAAGGGGCAACUGCUCCACUACCAGAUGGACCUGCGUUGUAUUAGCUAGUUGGUGAGGUAACGGCUCACCAAGGCGACGAUACAUAGCCGACCUGAGAGGGUGAUCGGCCAAACUGGGACUGAGACACGGCCCAGGAUCCUAAGGGAGGCAGCCGUAGGGGAACUUCGGCCAAGGACGGAAGGCUGACCGAGCAACGCCGGGUGAGGGAAGAAGGGUCUCGGAUCGUAAAAGUCUGUUGUAAGAGAAGGAAGAGUGUGAGAGUGAAAAGUUCACACUGUGACGGUAUCUUACCAGAAAGGGACGGCUAACUACGUG
rnacentral:rRNA from 1 species